GGGUUGUGAGGUUAAGCGACUAAGCGUACACGGUGGAUGCCCUGGCAGUCAGAGGCGAUGAAGGACGUGCUAAUCUGCGAUAAGCGCCGGUAAGGUGAUAUGAACCGUUAUAACCGGCGAUUUCCGAAUGGGGAAACCCAGUGUGACUCGUCACACUAUCAUUAACUGAAUCCAUAGGUUAAUGAGGCGAACCGGGGGAACUGAAACAUCUAAGUACCCCGAGGAAAAGAAAUCAACCGAGAUUCCCCCAGUAGCGGCGAGCGAACGGGGAGGAGCCCAGAGCCUGAAUCAGCAUGUGUGUUAGUGGAAGCGUCUGGAAAGGCGCGCGAUACAGGGUGACAGCCCCGUACACAAAAGCGCAUGUGCUGUGAGCUCGAUGAGUAGGGCGGGACACGUGGUAUCCUGUCUGAAUAUGGGGGGACCAUCCUCCAAGGCUAAAUACUCCUGACUGACCGAUAGUGAACCAGUACCGUGAGGGAAAGGCGAAAAGAACCCCGGCGAGGGGAGUGAAAAAGAACCUGAAACCGUGUACGUACAAGCAGUGGGAGCACCCUUUGGGGUGUGACUGCGUACCUUUUGUAUAAUGGGUCAGCGACUUAUAUUCUGUAGCAAGGUUAACCGUAUAGGGGAGCCGGAGGGAAACCGAGUCUUAACCGGGCGUUAAGUUGCAGGGUAUAGACCCGAAACCCGGUGAUCU
rnacentral:rRNA from 1 species